CGCAUGAGGUCGGUGGAGUGUGUCCUCAAUACUGUGGCUAGCAUCGACUCACAGAGUGGUGCACUGUGCGUAGCUCUCCCACAGUCCCUGCUGCCCUUUGGAAUUCUGGGUUAAGCUCCCAGUGCCUGAGGGGGCAAAAACAUUGUGGUGGGUGGUUUUAGCUACAUGUCGUCAGUCUCCCCUCCCUCCUUGAAAGCAAUGGUAAACAAUCAUAGUGCACCUUUUUUCCUGGGCGCCAUAUUGCUU